GAGGGUAUAGUUCAGUGGUAGAGUGCCUGCUUAGCAUGCACAAAGUCCUGGUUCAAUCCCCAGUACCUUCA
rnacentral:tRNA from 1 species